ACAAACGCCCCCGCGGGGGAAGAGGAGGAGCAGGCAGGGACUGUGCUAGCGCCGUACGCGGAGCCCAGGCGCGUUCGUCAAGUUCUUCAUCGUGAAAUUUAUUGAGGGUUAAAAAGAUUUUUUUUAACGUGCAACUGAACGGCUCCUUUACGCUUCCCACAGCUGCAUGUUGCCGGGCUCCCACACCUGCUGUAAACUUGAGGUCCGAGGUGCCGCGCAGGAGGCUCUCGCUUCAAUGUGCUCUUUUCCCCCUCUGCUGUUCUCGCAAGACUUGAUCGCUUCGGGGCAUAGAUUUUUGCUCUUCUGUGUGAACACAAGCUAAAGUGGAAAUUCCCACCUGAGGUGUCAGCAUCAUCAUCAUCAUCAUGGAAAACUAUCUGGAGUAUAAUUCUUGCUAAAGUUCUUUUCAACGACUCCUUUUUCCUGAAUCCAGACUGAAUGGACCUGAUUGGAUGAAGUAUUUCUCAGUAUUGAGCCACAUGUUCCCUGUUUCCAGAACUGAGACCUUGGGGAGGUCAUUUACUCUCUGGAGGAAUGGACUUUGAACCUGAGAUAUAGGAAGUUGCAGGAAGUGACAUGACUUGUAGGCGGCGGCCAGCAUUAGUGAUCAUUGAUCAAGGAUGGUUACAUCCUGUUACUCUUAUUCAAUGAGAAGACUCGAGUGUUUUGCUUUUAAACCCUGGACAUGCUGGAAGCAGGUCAGGUUCCAGGGGCACAUGGUGGGGGGUGGGAUGGGUCCCAGGUGUGUGUCUGUGCCUCUCCCUGCAGGGAUUAAAUAAAUGUUUUCUCUUUGUACCUGUUGAUGUCUCCUAUUAGUUAAUUGGAUUGGGAAGGGGGGGUCUUACACCUGACCCGUCCCACACAAGAGUAUAUACCAUGAACUGAACUAGGGAGACGGAAAGAAUUCCCUUUUCCUGUUCUCCCUCUUUUACCCUGGCUCCUAGUAAUGGGCCUGGAGAUAUUUGUUUCUGUUAAGGGUUAUUUGUCCUCAGUUUCAGGUGCUGGAAGUGAAGAAGAGUUUGAACCUGAGAGACCUUGGAGCUAGUAUUGCAGGUGGAGGUGCAGCAGCCAGCCAUGUCAUUAUCAAACCCUAAGAAGUUAGACUGAGACUUAAGUCCAAGGAGGGUUUUGCACUUGGAUUUUGGACUGUGAUUUUUAGGAACUGAACUUAAGCUAUGAAUCAAAUUCUCUUACCUUCCCCAUUGACUGAGGAGAUAGAAAAGGAAUUGAGAAUUAUGCCUUCUAUGUGUUGGGGCAACUAUGUUUGUAUAUAUUUAUAUCUCUGGAAGUAAAU